GUACUUUUCUGAGUCUAAACAUUAUCAAUACAUACAAUAUUUUGUUUAGUGUUAAUUGUCUUAAAAAAUAAUAGAGUAAUGUGGAGAGAGUGCUGCACAGGACAUAGCAAGUUACUUUAGACAUUCAAACCCUACAAAGGAAGGCACUACAUAUGAAAGAAAGAUUGACGCUUCAUCGAUAACAACUUCAAUCAAUUGCAUAUUUCCUCCCUUAAGAAAACACCAUUAUUGAGUGUAUAUAUAUACAUAUAUAAGGCUGCAUGCUUAAAGCACACUCUGGGAAAAGUAGAGGCAUGCAUCAAUAGAUUCAAGACUUAAAUGCAAAGUCAUCUUGAGGAAGAACAAAACAACCAUGGGAUCCUAAAAAAAGCUUAGUUGAUUGACUACCUGAACUUCUGUCUUGUUGGCGAUGAGAAAACGAAGAUACACGAUGACCACCUCUAUCUUCUGAAUGUUGCAACAAAAUUGGAUACUCAAGGGCGAAAGAUGAGUAUGACCAAGCAUCUUCAACUGUAGGAUUUCACGAGUGUUACUUCCAAUCAUUUUAUGUUAUUGAGAACAGGAAAAAAACCAUCCAAAGUAAUACCACUAGUUCUUAUGCAUUCAUAUUUCAUAGUGUUAAUAUAGUACAACAACAGUUUCAAGCUUCAUGAACUACCAUUAGUGCAUAUGUAAAGACCCUAAAGAACAUAUAGUACACAUACUAAAGUACUUGAUGUAAAAGAGAAUCAUCAGAUUCUCAUAAUGCUACUGUCUUCUACUAGGAUUUGCUAAAAGUAGACUUAUCUGGAACUGGACCGUGAAGUUUUACAUUCUUCACAA